CCUGCCCACUGAUAUAUUUAAAUUUUAAUGGCCGCGGUAUUUAUGACCGUGCAAAGGUAGCAUAAUCAUUAGUCUUUUAAUUGAGGGCUUGCAUGAAUGGUUGGACAAGAGAAAAACUGUCUUCUAAAAUAAGGAUUGAAUUUAACUUUUAAGUGAAAAGGCUUAAAUGGUUCAAAGGGACGAUAAGACCCUAUAAAGCUUUAUAAAGAAUAUAAAAUUUAGAUUAAUUUUAUUAUUAAAAGUUAAGAUUUAUAUCAUUAUUAAGUUGGGGCAACAAGAGUAUAAUUGAAAAUAACUGCUAGCUUAUUUAUACAAAUAUAAUUGUGUUAAGUUUUUAUGAUCCUUAUUUUAAAGAUUUUAAGACUAAGUUACUUUAGGGAUAACAGCGUUAUUUUUUUUGAGAGUUCUUAUCGAAAGAAAAGUUUGCGACCUCGAUGUUGAAUUAAAAUUUCUAUGUGGUGUAGUCAUUACAUAAGAGGGUCUGUUCGACCUUUAAUUUUUUACGUGAUCUGAGUU
rnacentral:rRNA from 1 species